UACGUAGGGUGCGAGCGUUGUCCGGAAUUAUUGGGCGUAAAGGGCUCGUAGGCGGUUUGUCGCGUCGGGAGUGAAAUCCACUGGCUUAACUGGUGGCUUGCUUUCGAUACGGGCAGACUGGAGGUAUGCAGGGGAGAACGGAAUUCCUGGUGUAGCGGUGAAAUGCGCAGAUAUCAGGAAGAACACCCGUGGCGCAAGCGCCCAUCUGGUCCUGUCCUGACGCUGUGGCACGAAAGCGUGGGGAGCGAACCGG
rnacentral:rRNA from 1 species